ACACUGUCAUAAAUAUUGUAUACCAUAUUUUUUUAUAAAAUUAAUGUUUCAGAAAUGUACGUGUUACAUCUGUGUGAUAAUCUUGAGAAUUGUGUGGUACUUUCUAAAUCUAACAAUUUAGACUAGUUUAAGGCAUGUCUUAGUACACUGGGUAUUCAUUGAAGUAUUUGACAUUAUUGCCAUAGCUAGAAGACUAAAUUGUGUACCGUGUGUAAAUGACUUGUAAGGCGUAAUUGCUCAGUUAUGUGUCAUUGGGACAGAUGCUGUUUGUAAGAAGUUAGAGCUUAUCCUUUGCUUGCUGCUUUUGCUGUACUUUAGUGCAUUUUAAUGAGUAAUUUUGAAACUAUUUUCUCAUAUGCUUAACAAAGGUAAGUGCGUAACCAUUGCUAUACAAGAUCUGCCUAAAAUAUAAUUUUGCUGAAUUUUGAGAGGAUGAAUGGGUGUGUACCGUUGAUAAUCAUCUCACUUUAGCCGGUGUUAGUUGUAAACUUGGUAUGUUUCCUGGAGUGGGGCAAAGGGGGAGGAUCUGUUCUGGAACAGUGUCCAGAACCCUUGUUUAAACAUUCUUAAUAUUACUGUCAUGUUCCAAACUGAUAUCCUUUCAGUAUUCAUUGAUUUAUGGGAACAAAGAGAAUCUGACAGAAGACAGGUUAGCGGGUUACAGGGGGUUGUGGCUUCAUUGCAGUAUUGUAUUUGGUAAAAUGCUCAUGGAGUAACAGGCAUGUGGCUGGAUAUGCUGUCAUCUUUACUGAUGAGUGACUAAUUGCCUCAAUUUUUUGAAUAUUUACACCUGGAAAGCACCAUUAAGAGGCGCCAUCAAGUAAAAACUUCAGGUGGACCACUCUUUUGCUGACAAAGAACACAUUGAGUAUGACUUUUUUUUUUUCAACUUUCUCAUGCACGCCUUUUUGCUACAUGGAGAAGAAAAAGUACACGAGCUUUAACUUGAAUGAUUUGUCUCUGGAACCCGAAUCACACUGCCCAAAAAAUCCAUGUAACUUUGCAUGUACUUCAGAAUUUCAUGAGACAGAAACCCAUGAUUUUCCCUAUACUGGCUUGUAACAAGCUUUCCUCAUCUGCAGAUCUCGGGUAACAAUUUUAUGCAUAGAAGUUUUAUCCAUCAGAACACUUACUGGAUGUUUGGUAUUCAGAAGUUCACAAUGUGAGUCAUGUUGACUUGGGGUUUUCUCAUUGACAAGCAUUCGAAAUAGCUUCAGUUCUCCACCUUCUUCUAAACCUCCUUUAAUAUUAAUUUAAUUUAGUAUUUGAAAACUUGCAUUUUCAAGGAGAAUAUUUCCCCAAAGUCUUGCUUCAACAAUGGGAAUGUGUCAGUGCCAGAUAAGUUGAGCCACACAGAAAAUUAGGUGAUGUAUCAUUGCUCAACAGAAUGCUAAAUCCUUUGCUUAUGCAAACACCAUAAAAGGUUUCCAGUAAGUUUGCAAUUUUUGACUGAAUAAGUGUGUGGAGGCAACUUACUGUGGACACAUUUUGAAACUUACAACACUUAACCACUAACUCUAAGUGAGCACACUGUGGGUAAUAGGUGUGCAAUUAAAAAUUGUGGUAUUAUUUUUUGAACUAGUAAAUGUUAAAUUUACUGCCUGAUUUGGGGAAUAAAUUCCUUGUAUGUUGUACAGUAAUUUAAGAGAUGACGUCUUGCCUGAUAAAGACAGUUUUGAGCAAAGUUGAAAGACUUAUCAACAUUCUUGUAGACCUUUACAAUUAACCCAUCAACAGAUUUAGCUUCAAAUUUUGACACUACCUGACGAUGUGAGCUUGGGAACAGCUGUUUUUCAUAGCAGAAGUUGUGCCAUGUUUGUUAUCUAUGAGGUGAUGCGACUUGUCCUGGAUGUAUGGUAACGAGAUGUACUUCCUUUACAAUAAAAAUAAAUGUUGCUCAUACAUUUUUAAGGUUUCUGAGAUGGCACCUUAAUUUUUGGCAGUUAUAGCUUCUUUUAAUGUUGUUAUGUGUAAGCAAUUGGAACCUAUUUUUGUUAUCUUCAGAUUUUGUCUUUGAUUUUCUGGUUAUAUUGUGGUUUAAUUGACAAACACUUUUGUGUUGUUAAAUGUAUGUGUAAAUAUCUAAUGUUAAUACCAGUAAAUUGAAAGCAGUACCUUGCUGAUAAUUAAAUUGAAUGUUGGGAUCAUUUUUGAAUCUAUGGGGACUGUUGUUUGGCAGAGGAAUUGUCAUGUAACUUGAGCAGCAGAGCAGUUUCAGCUCAUCAGAUAAAUAGACUACAUUGUCACAAGUUACUGAAAGGCACAAAUUAUUGAAGUGUCAUUUUGCAAUAAGACAUGAUGUUUCGGCACAUUGAGAUGAAGGCAGUCAUGGGUUGUGAAAAGAGUGCCUUCAUAAUAAGGGACAAGACAUACUGCAGUGGCACCUUCUUCCUUCAGGAUGGCUGAUGUAUACCUAUUGGAGACCUUUUCCUGUUACAUUCUGGCCAAGUUAUUGAAUGGAAUUUUACCAACACAACACCAAGCAGUUUAUGAAGAAAAGAAGGCUGAAUGAAAUCUCUGCUCAGAAUAUUACACUCACCUUAUUAGUAGAUCUCCUGAUAUUACAUCAUCUGUCCAGGAUGUGUGUAUCAUUAAGAUAUAUCGGAGAUCAGGAAUGUGAAGUACCUGAAAAUGUUUGAAAAGCAUGUUGGAAUUUCUCUCCUCUUCCUCCUCCUCCUCCUCCUCCCCCUCCCCCUCCUCCCCUGCAUCAUGAGACUGCUUGUUAGAAAAACUGUUUUGGCAGUAAUGAUACUGUUGUAUGUGACUGUACCUCCUUGUGAAUAAAAAGCCUGUAUCAUCAUUUACA